GAUGAACGCUAGCGGCAGGCCUAAUACAUGCAAGUCGAACGGUGUAGCAAUACACAGUGGCGCACGGGUGCGUAACACGUAUGCAACCUACCUUACAUAGGGGGAUAGCCUUUCGAAAGGGAGAUUAAUACCGCAUAAGACAGUAACUAGGCAUCUAGUAGCUGUUAAAGAUUUAUCGAUGUAAGCUGGGCAUGCGUCCAAUUAGUUAGUUGGCGAGGUAAUGGCUCACCAAGACGAUGAUUGGUAGGGGAACUGAGAGGUCAAUCCCCCACACUGACACUGAGAUACGGGCCAGACUCCUACGGGAGGCAGCAGUAGGGAAUAUUGGGCAAUGGGCGCAAGCCUGACCCAGCCAUGCCGCGUGCAGGAAGAAGGCGUUAUGCGUUGUAAACUGCUUUUAUACAGGAAGAAACGACCCUUGCGAGGGGCAUUGACGGUACUGUAUGAAUGAGCACCGGCUAACUCCGUGCCAGCAGCCGCGGUAAAAC
rnacentral:rRNA from 1 species